ensembl:lncRNA
GUUCUGGGCGCGAAGUGGCCUUCAACCCUGUGGUGGUCGGCUGAGCGGCUAUGGCUGAAACCGCGAGAAUCCCUCUUCCCAGGAAUAGCCAAGUGAAAAGUAUGAAUCGCUGACUUGAAAAGCCGUCUGUGUUUAUUCAGAUCCUUAAACCAGUGCCGCUCAAAGGAUGGUCUAUAACUGAGAUUAGUCCAUAAACUAUUUGUUUCUGGUCCAGAUGAGGUAAGUAAUAGAAUUGAAUGUUUAGAAAUGUUUACAGUCUUUUGACAUUGUUGUAACAACCAAGCCAUGAUCAAUAGGUUCGCUUUUCUAUACUGUAGUUGUUUAAUUUUUCUAGAAAUGAAUUUUUUUACUGUACAAAAGUACUGACCUAUAACAGGGGAAAGAAAGCUGAUCUAUCACCAGGAUUAGUUGGAUAAGCACUGCUUUAAAUGCAUUCUUGUGAGGCAGACAUGUUCUGAAAUGACUUCCUGUCCUCAGCUGUGGGCUGAUCCUGGUUACUUGCUUCUGACAAAUAGAGUAUGGCCAAAGUGAUGCAAUGUCAUUUCCAAGAUUAGGUUAUAAAAAGGCUGUGUCUUAUAUCUUGCUUACUAUCCUAGUCUGUUUGGGCUGCUAUAACAAGAACUGGGUAACUUAUAAGCAGCAGAAGUUUAUUGCUUACAGUUCUGGAAGCUGAAAGUACAAGGUCAAGGUGCCAGCAAGGUUAGUCUGGUGAGAGGCCUCAUCUGGGUUGCAGACAGCUAGCUUCUUGUAUCUUCACAGAGUGGAAGGGACAAGGGAGGCUUUUAAAAAGCCCUUUCUCAGUGGCUUUUUAAAAAUUAAUUUAUUUUUGGCUGUGCUGGGUCUUCCUUUCUUUGUGGUCUCUUCUCUAGUUGUGGCGAUUGGGGGUUCCUUUUCGUUUCUCAUUGCGGUGCCUUCUCUUGUUGCAGAGCAUGGGCCCGAGGGCUCUCGGGCUUCAGUAGUUGUGGCUUGGCGGCUUAGUAGUUGCGGCUUGGCGGCUUAGUAGUUGCAGUUCCCUGAGGCUCGAGCACAGGUUCAGUAGUUAUGAUGUGCGGGCUUAGUUGCCCUGUGGCAUGUGGGAUUUUCCCAGGCCAGGGAUCUAACCGCAUUGGCAAGAGAACUCAUUACCACUGAACCACCAAGGAAACCCCUCAACAUCUUCCUUAAGGGGGCUCAUCACCUAAUCACCUUCCAAAGGCCCCACUUUCGAAUACCAUCACCUUAGCGGCUAGGUGUCAACACAGGGAUUUUGGCGGAACACAAGCAUUCAGACCACAGCACUUACCUUCUCUGUGCAUCUCUUGCUCUCUCUCGGAGAGUAGCCCUAUAUAGAAGCUCAUGUGGCUGUGCAGAAUUGAUUGCUAGUGGGAAGCUGCUGUGUAACAAAGGGGAGCCCAGCCUGAUGUUCUCUAACGACCUAGAGGGGUAUGAUGGAAGGGGUUAGGGAGGCUCAAGACAGAGGGGUUAUAUAUAUAAUAAUUGCUGAUUUGUGUCGUUGUGAGGUGGAAACCAACUCAACAUUGUAAAACAAGUAUCCUCCUAUUAAGAAAUUUUUAAAAAAGAAGCUAACAUGGAAAGGCACUGGUAUCUUCAGCCAACAGCCAGUGAAGACCCGAGGCCUGCCACAGCCACUUGAACAAGCUUAAAGCAGGUCUUUCCAUGCUUGAGGUUUGAGAUGAUGAUAGCCCUAGCCAACUCCUUGAUCACAGCGUUGUGAAAGAUCCCCAAGUCUAAAGAUGUAAGCUGCACAUAGAUUCUGACUCUGAAAUGACUCUAAGAUAAUAAAUAUUGUUUCAAGCCACUCAAUUGUGGGGUAAUUUGUUACAUAGUCUCGUUAACUAACACAGUCUGUGUCAGAAGAGAACAUCAGACAAGUGGAAGGAAAAUCUAAAAAUGCAACUGCAACUGUGUAGUAUGGUUAGUGAAAUAUUCCAUGAAUAAUUAAUGACUGUGAAUUAAUAACAUUACAAUAGUACAUUCUGAGCCCUUCAUGCAAUAAUCUGGCUUACCCCUAUAAAUAUAAGAUUACAACUUGACAUGAAAGAGAUCACUGAAAGAUUUCUGGUGUGAGGUGAACACAAGUAUUUUUUCUCAUGGCAAUUUCUUUAUCUAAAAUUAGUAGGAAAGAGAACUGGUCAAAACCUUG